rnacentral:rRNA from 1 species
UACGGAAGGCAGCAGUGGGGAAUAUUGCACAAUGGGCGCAAGCCUGAUGCAGCCAUGCCGCGUGUAUGAAGAAGGCCUUCGGGUUGUAAAGUACUUUCAGUCGUGAGGAAGGUGUUAAGGUUAAUAACCUUAGCAAUUGACGUUAGCGACAGAAGAAGCACCGGCUAACUCCGUGCCAGCAGCCGCGGUAAUACGGAGGGUGCGAGCGUUAAUCGGAAUUACUGGGCGUAAAGGGCACGCAGGCGGUUAAUUAAGUUGGAUGUGAAAUCCCCGGGCUUAACCUGGGAAUGGCAUUCAAGACUGGUUAGCUAGAGUCUUGUAGAGGGGGUAGAAUUCCAUGUGUAGCGGUGAAAUGCGUAGAGAUGUGGAGGAAUACCGGUGGCGAAGGCGGCCCCUGGACAAAGACUGACGCUCAUGUGCGAAAGCGUGGGGAGCAAACAGGAUUAGAACC